GUGUCUUGGGACAGAACGUUCCUUGCUGUGGGGGCUGUCCUGUGCGUUGUGGGAUGUCUGACAACCUCCCCAGUAGAUGCCAAUAGAUUCCCUCCAGCUGCAAUAGUCAAAUGUAUCUGCAUUUAUCGAUGGGGGGAGGAUUAUCUCCAGUGGAAAACCAUGGGUAGAGACCAGCACCGUCUAAGCCAGAAGCCAGACGUGAUCAUGGAGCACAUGAAAGGUGGCUAGUUUCAACUGAGAUGCACUCUUUUGGAGGUAGAAUUUCUGUUGAACACUGCUGGCCAAGACCCUCCCUGAUCAGUAGCCCAAAUUCCGUGUGAAUGACUUACUACCUCAGGAACAAAGCAAUCAUUUUCCAGCACCAUCUGCCAUUGCGAUGGACCAGACGGUGGAGGCAUGUCAGAGGGCGGACACAGAAGCCUGUCAGAGCAUCUCCGAUGCUUGGCCUGAGAUGCAUUUGAGUCUCUCUCUUCGCCUCGAAAAACUAAGCAAAAUCUGCAGUGUCUGCAUUGAGAGGCCGCGCCCUGCUUCAUCCCACAGCGGAAGCAGCCCCAGCUGUCAGCAUCCUGCUCUGGGCUGCUGAUGGAUGCAGCAGAGCCUGACACCCACACAGAAACCCAGGGAAGCCUGCCUCCCCUGGGGGGACUUUCCGCUUCCUCUAACCUACAGAGGAGACUGGGGUCCGUGUGCUCUCUCUGUAACCAGGCAAGCUGGGUCCUAAAGCCACUGGUAUGGAGAGCUUACUUGUCCAACAAGCCACCUACCUCUCUACCUCUCUUAAUUCCCGCAGGAGUUCUGUUAGCUGGACGUUGUUAGGAUGUUCCCAUUAAAGGUACAGGUGGCCAGUAAGAACUUUGCUCCAGAAAUUAAGGUCGUUAGAAAUGUUAGUUUCUUCAUUUCUAUUAAAUGGAUUCAACCUUAA